UACAGAGGGUGCGAGCGUUGUUCGGAAUUAUUGGGCGUAAAGGGCGCGUAGGCGGUGCGGUAAGUCACCUGUGAAAUCUCCUGGCUCAACUGGGAGCUUGCAGGCGAAACUGCCGUGCUGGAGUGUGGGAGAGGUGCGUGGAAUUCCUGGUGUAGCGGUGAAAUGCGUAGAUAUCAGGAAGAACACCAACGGCGAAGGCAGCUCGCUGGGACGGUACUGACGCUGAGACGCGAAAGCGUGGGGAGCGAACAGG
rnacentral:rRNA from 1 species